rnacentral:miRNA from 14 species
AGAAGCAGGCAGAUCUCUGUGAGUUCGAGGCCAGCCUGGUCUACAGAACAAGUAGCAGGGCAGCCAGCAAUACACAGAGAAACCCUGUCUCCAAA